AUUGAACGCUGGCGGCAUGCCUUACACAUGCAAGUCGAACGGCAGCAUGGAGAGCUUGCUCUCUGAUGGCGAGUGGCGAACGGGUGAGUAAUGCAUCGGAACGUACCGUGUAAUGGGGAUAACGUAGCGAAAGUUACGCUAAUACCGCCUACGACCUGAGGGUGAAAGCAGGGGAUCGCAAGACCUUGCGUUAUACGAGCGGCCGAUGUCAGAUUAGCUAGUUGGUGAGGUAAAGGCUCACCAAGGCGACGAUCUGUAGCGGGUCUGAGAGGAUGAGCCGCCAGCCGAGGACUGAGACACGGCCCAGCCUCCUACGGGAGGCAGCAGUGGGGAAUUUUGGACAAUGGGGGCAACCCUGAUCCAGCCAUGCCGCGUGAGUGAAGAAGGCCUUCGGGUUGUAAAGCUCUUUCGGCCGGGAAGAAAUCGCACAGGCUAAUACUCUGUGUGGAUGACGGUACCGGCAUAAGAAGCACCGGCUAACUACGUGCCAGCCGCCGCCGUAA
rnacentral:rRNA from 1 species